rnacentral:rRNA from 1 species
CAGUAGCCGCGGUAAAACGUAGGUCCCGAGCGUUGUCCGGAUUUAUUGGGCGUAGAGCGAGCGCAGGCGGUUAGAUAAGUCUGAAGUUAAAGGCUGUGGCUUAACCAUAGUACGCUUUGGAAACUGCUUAACUUGAGUGCAGAAGGGGAGAGUGGAAUUCCAUGUGUAGCGGUGAAAUGCGUAGAUAUAUGGAGGAACACCGGUGGCGAAAGCGGCUCUCUGGUCUGUAGCUGACGCUGAGGCUCGAAAGCGUGGGGAGCAAACAGGAUUAGAUACCCCCGUAGUCCCUGUCUCUUAUACA